AUUUAUUAUACAUGUUUUGAAAGACUUAAACAGCAACAACCUCUGUGGUAGAUAAAUCGUUUUGAUUCCCCCUUCCAUUAACUACAUACUUUCUUCCCAGAUGUCCCCUUAAAGUACUAAUCAAGAAUACAAAAUACAACAACAAUAUCAACAACAACAAAUUAAACAAAUAUGUGAUCUCCUCAACACCUUCCUGUGUGCUCAAAUGUUUCUAUUAUUAAUAAUUGUUUUCAAUUGCUUUCGUCUGUGAUCGCCCCUGCACCCUUCUACUUCACACACAUCCUACUAUUUCUAUACUGUUUGGAUUGUAAAGUUAUCAUCAAAGGGGUACAAAGGGUUAAUUUAUAAAUUUCAUUAUAUUAUAUAUACUGGCAGGCAAAACAGCUUUUGAAAUGUUAUAGCAAAAUAUACUGUUAAUCAAUACUUUUCAUUAUAGAGCAAAACAGAGCAAUACCUAAUUACUUCUUUCCUUAUAGAGUAGAUGUAAACAGUGUAACAGUAUUACAGAUUUUGCUAUAAAAUCAUUUUCACUGUUUAAAAAUAUAUGAUACUUAGUAUCAUCAUAUGUAAAUCAAUACUUAGCCAACCGACUACAACAGUAUAAGAGAUUUUGCUAUAAAUACAUUUUAGAAUAGAGCAAUAGACAUAUAUAAUUUACUACAUAUAUAUAAAUCAGUUUCAAGUCAGCUGAAUAUAGCAGUAUAACAAUAUUACAGACUUUACUAAAUAUAUAGAAGAUAGCUCCAAACCGAGCAUAACAGUUUGGCAACAUAACUGAAUUUACUAUAAAUACAAUAGAAAAAUGUGGAUGUGGAAAACAUCAUCUCAUAUGGCGAACAGUUUUAAUACGACAGAGUGUCCCUUAUCUAUGCAACAGACAGACAGUAAAAACAUUUGUUUACGAAUAAAUUCUUUUGGACAUUAUUGUUAUUAUUUGAUAGCAGUUGGUUCCGAAAUGAUGAGAUAAUUUGCAAUUGCAACCUUUUUUCCGCUUUUUGACAAUUAGCGAAAAAUUCCACAUUCUUUUCAAACUAACUACAAUCUGUUUUCUACAUCGAUUUCUUAUUUGUGUUGAUUGAUUAUGUUUUUCGCAUUUCUUUCUGUUUUUCUUUUCAUUGGUAUUCCUUUUGUAAAAAGCUCAAAAAGUUUAAAUAUGAUACUUAAUCAAUUUGUGUGCAUGUGCAUAUAUGUGAAGGCCCCGUUAACUUUCUACUGGCUAACAAAACCAAAUUGUAAAUUUAAUUUCUGUGCUUAAUUCAUCGAAAACGCAUCAACAACUCUGACAACAACAAAAUUACAGCAUUUUCAGUUCAGUUCACAUCUAAGAAAAAGACAACAAAAGAACACAAAUUAAUUGAAUUAAAUAACUUUUUCCCUGGAAUACAGCCGCCGAGUUCUCCAGAUUCACGAACAAAAUAUUACAUGCAAAAAGGACGAAAAUCAAAUAUAAAACAACUUUUGGAAAGAUAUUGCUUCGGAAUUCCGAAGACUUGAAACAAAUAUGCAAACAUGUUUAUAGAAUGUUAAUUUGCAAGAAGAAUUUCUUUUUUGUUUGUUAAGAAAAGCUAGUUGAAAAUUGAAAACAGAACAACAACAAAAAAAAAAAUAAUAAUAAUAAUAAUAUUUUUGUAUUAAUGUUGUAGUUGAAAAAUGAACUAUGUCUAUAUACAAAAUCUAGUAUCAACCUAAAUGUACCUUUGUUAAUGUAUACACAAAUCAUUCUUUUAAGCGUGCAGUCAAUAUACCAAAUUAAUCAAAUCAAUCCAAUUGAACAAAUCGAAUUCUAAAGCUCAAGCUCUUCAAAAUGUUCUCACUCAUCGAUUGUUGUCUUUGAAGUUUUAACCAUCUAACAUGUUUACCCAUCCAUCAUCGAUUUCUCUCUUUCUCAUUACGUACAUAUAUAUAUAUAUAUACAUAUAUAUAUAUAUAUUAUUUUGUGUUCUUUUUUACUAUGACUACCAUGUACCUUUGCUAAAAAUAUGUGCUUAGCAAUAUAUGCCGUACUAUCUCACAAAAUAUUUAAUCGGUGGAGCUUUGUUUAUGUAUAUAUAUAUACAUAUUGUAUAUAUACGUAUAUGUAUCUCCCAUGUAAUUCAUUGUUCCUUUUUAUCUUUUUUUUAUUUUUUCUUUUUCUUUUAAUAAAUGAGAUAAUUAGAAAUCGAAUUCCAAAUUAUUAAUUGUGUAAAAUUUAUUGGAGCAAGCAUGCCCUUUAAUGCAUUGCAUGCGAUUGGAGUAGUUAGAGAAAGACUGUUCAAAAUAUUACUUUUUGUUAUAUUUUUGUUAUUACUAGCAAAGCCAGAAAGCCUUGAAAUUUAUGUUUUUACUUUUUAUUUUUGCAUGUCAUGUUAAAUUAAAACUACCAAGUCAUUCGAAAACAGAAAAGAUUGGGUUGAGUAAUGCGAAGCGUGUUGUGGGUGAGUGGGUGCUAGACAGACGUAUGACUUCAUAUAGCUCUGUUUAUCCUUCAAUGCUAAACAUGCGAGCAAUGCAACAUGGCAAACAUACAUAAAGAUGUCAUAAGUUAGAGCACUUGCGACCGGAAAUGCUCGACUUAAAAAUACCUUGCCGGGAUGCUAUUUCAAAUGUUUCAGCAGCAUGAUUAGGACUACAAGGGCCUCAAGGCAUCUCACAGUGGAACAUGACCAACUGCUUUUUGAUUUGUUUUUGUAUUUGCCUGUAUGUUGUUUUAUUAUGAUUGCUGUAGCGGAUUUUAUCUAUAUAUCCUAAAAACAAAUAUGUACGUUAUUACUAUG